GGAAGUAAAAGUCGUAACAAGGUUUCCGUAGGUGAACCUGCGGAAGGAUCAUUACCGAGUGAGGGCCCUCUGGGUCCAACCUCCCACCCGUGUUUAUUUUACCUUGUUGCUUCGGCGGGCCCGCCUUAACUGGCCGCCGGGGGGCUUACGCCCCCGGGCCCGCGCCCGCCGAAGACACCCUCGAACUCUGUCUGAAGAUUGUAGUCUGAGUGAAAAUAUAAAUUAUUUAAAACUUUCAACAACGGAUCUCUUGGUUCCGGCAUCGAUGAAGAACGCAGCGAAAUGCGAUACGUAAUGUGAAUUGCAAAUUCAGUGAAUCAUCGAGUCUUUGAACGCACAUUGCGCCCCCUGGUAUUCCGGGGGGCAUGCCUGUCCGAGCGUCAUUGCCGCCCUCAAGCACGGCUUGUGUGUUGGGCCCCGUCCUCCGAUCCCGGGGGACGGGCCCGAAAGGCAGCGGCGGCACCGCGUCCGGUCCUCGAGCGUAUGGGGCUUUGUCACCCGCUCUGUAGGCCCGGCCGGCGCUUGCCGAUCAACCCAAAUUUUUAUCCAGGUUGACCUCGGAUCAGGUAGGGAUACCCGCUGAACUUAAGCAUAUCAAUAAGCGGAGGAA
rnacentral:rRNA from 1 species